GGUUUGUAGAGAUCCAAGAUGGGGCAGAUGUUAUGAGAGUUAUAGUGAAGAUCCAAAUAUUGUUAGGUCAAUGAGUGAAAUGGUGCCUGGAUUACAAGGAGAUAUACCUUCUAAUGGUAGAUUAGGAGUCCCUUUUGUUGCCAACAAGCAAAAAGUGGCUGCUUGUGCUAAGCAUUAUGUAGGAGAUGGUGGGACAGUAAAAGGAAUCAAUGAAAACAAUACAAUUAUUGAUAGACAUGGUUUGCUUAGUAUACAUAUGGCAGGUUACUAUAGUUCAAUCAUCAAAGGUGUUUCUACUGUCAUGGUUUCCUAUUCAAGUUGGAAUGGUCUCAGAAUGCAUGCAAAUAAAGAAAUGGUUACUGGUUUUCUUAAAGGCACACUUAGAUUCAGAGGGUUUGUUAUUUCAGAUUGGGCAGGAAUUGAUAAGCUUACUUAUCCUUGGCAUACAAACUAUACAUAUUCCAUUCUUGAAGGUGUCAAUUCUGGCAUUGACAUGGUUAUGCUGCCCUACAACUAUACAGAAUUCAUUGAUGGUUUAACAUAUUUAGUGAACAACAACUUUGUUCAAAUGACUCGAAUCGAUGAUGCAGUCAAGAGAAUUCUCAGGGUGAAGUUCCAAAUGGGACUCUUUGAGAACCCUCUUGCUGAUUAUAGUUUGACGAAAUAUCUUGGAAGCCCGGAACAUAGAGAAUUGGCAAGAGAAGCAGUGAGAAGGUCACUUGUUUUAUUGAAAAAUGGAGCAAAUGCAGAUGAACCAGUUUUGCCACUUCCAAAAAAAGCAACAAAUAUAUUAGUUGCAGGAGCCCAUGCUAACAAUAUGGGGUACCAAUGUGGUGGAUGGACCAUUACAUGGCAAGGACUUAGCGGAAACACAACAACUGGUACUACAAUCCUCUCAGCCAUAGAGAACACAGUAGAUCCAGAAACAAAGGUUGUGUACAAGGAAAAUCCAGAUAGCGAAUUCGUAAAGUCCAACAACUUCUCCUACGCUAUAGUCGUGGUGGGAGAGACCCCAUACGCGGAAGGUUCUGGUGACAGCCUAAACUUAACAAUCCCCGCGCCUGGUCCAGACAUCAUGACCACGGUAUGUGCCUCGGUGAAAUGUGUCGUCGUGCUUGUCACGGGCCGUCCGGUCGUGAUCCAGCCCUACCUAGCUCAAAUGGAUGCACUAGUAGCAGCUUGGCUACCAGGAACAGAAGGACAAGGUGUAGCUGAUGUCCUGUUUGGUGAUUAUGGUUUUACUGGAAAACUAGCAAGGACUUGGUUCAAGACUGUUGAUCAACUCCCUAUGAAUGUUGGUGAUUCACAUUAUGACCCUUUGUUCCCUUUUGGAUUUGGACUUACCACAGAACCUGUCAAGGCCUAAAA
rnacentral:misc_RNA from 1 species